rnacentral:lncRNA from 1 species
GUUCACUUGACCGUCCUUCCAGGGAGCUGCAGAGGCUCCCCUGGGCCUUGGGGACCGGGCCGCCACUUGCCCUGCUAGCAGGGGGCCUGCCUUGUGCUAGCUGUGCUCAGUUAGCUAGACCCAGUUUGCCAGUGGGAACGGAAGGCGCUGUCGUGCCACCAUCCAGGAUAUAACCUGCAAAUCCCAGACCCUGCCUUGCUGAUCUCACUCUGCGAAAGAAACCAAAGAGCUUGAACAGGAAGUCAGUAGAAAAGACAAGGCCAUCUUGAGGGAUACCAGGGUUUUCAGGGCACUGGGUACCACAAUAUGAGUCUUAGAUGAUGUAAAAGACACCGAGUUCAGAAACGUGAAGGUGGAUUGUGUGCACUGGGAGGAGCAAUGGAUUCAAGGUGGUUAGUGGCAUUAAAUUAUUUUGACUAUAG